GUUCCCUAUGGUGGCACAUAUACUAAAAUUGGAAUGAUACACGGGAGAUUAGCAUCACCCCUGCCCAAGGAUAACAUUCAUUUCCAUAUGUUGAAAGUUAUGCUU